rnacentral:lncRNA from 1 species
CAAUCACUCCCGGGGUUUCCCACCAAUUAAGCUAAUCACACCAAGCAACCAAUUUAGACGGUCAGGUACCUUCCGAGGACGCAGGCUACAGGACGAUUGUUUAGAGUCGUAAAGUCAUCAGCUUAAUCCUAGUGCUUAAGCUGAUGGGUUUCUAAGACAAGCAUAUGGCGUUAAUAAGAUUUUUCAACUUCAAGAAAGUCAAUAAAAGGGAUCACGGUAGCCUUCUCAAACAGAUCAGGCUGGAGAAUGUUGAGGUGCAUAAAUGCACAUAACUGUUGCCAUCCUGGAGGGAUGUGUAUAACCCCGAUGUGGUUAGGUACUUGGAAAACAAAUAGAAGGACUAUGAAUUGAUACCAUUGAAUUUUCCAAGGACUCAGUUGCCGGUCUAUCGAAGUCACUUGACUUGACUUGUGAUAUCGCACAACAUUGCGCGGAUUUUCAGUGCCUUUGAAUUUGGUGAUUGUCGUCAUUAUUAAAAAUAAAGCGGGGAGUCUAUUAAUCAGAUAUUUUCAGUAGACCGAUUGACCAGAUAUUAGCAAUCAAACAAAUUCUGGGGAAAUGUUAGGAAUAUUAUAUUGGUGUCCAUCAAGGUUUCGUUGACUUCAAACAAGCAUACGACAGUAUCGAUCGUCGGGUAACUGUACAAAAUACUGUCUGUCUGAGUUCCAGCGAGACUCAUCAAAAUGACAAUGAGCUAGUCAGGUAUUCAAGUUGGUCCCAACAUGGCCAGUGGAUCUAAAUGGCACAUUACUGUACAAAUCAUCAUGCAUAGUGACCUAUACUAAUGAUAUAGAUAAAUAUCCUAACACGAUCAAAUGGGAACGCAAAGGAAUCCUUGAUGAAGCUGAAGCGAGCCUAAAAGUGAAGAAGAGAAGACCAAAAUCAUGACACAAACCACAAGAAAGGAGGUUACCGGACAAAACGCCAAAUUAAACUAUCACAACUUUGAACAAGUCGACAGUUUUGUGUAUUUAGCCGCAAUUUUCACAAAGCACAACAAUGAAG